GUUCGAGUCUUGUCAGAAUAUAUACUAACGUCGUCACAGUAGCAUGGCCCCUGCACUAAGGAUGACACGCUCAAUCAAAGAGAAGCUACCAAUUUUU
rnacentral:snRNA from 1 species